CUCCUGUGCUAAGCAACUGAGUAACAGGAAGAGCAGGUGAUGCAAGUAAUAUGCAUUCCCUAGUUCCCCCUCAAAAAAAUGCCUAUUUUCUUGUGUGUUUCCUAACCUCCCUUUUGAAUUUCUUGCCUCCUUUUGUGUUUGUUAUCCCCUCGUUUAAUUAUCUCACCCACUUUAAUGUCUUUUUUUAUUUUUUUAUCUUUAGUUUUUCC